rnacentral:rRNA from 1 species
UACGUAGGGUGCAAGCGUUAAUCGGAAUUACUGGGCGUAAAGCGUGCGCAGGCGGUUGUGCAAGACAGAUGUGAAAUCCCCGGGCUCAACCUGGGAAUUGCAUUUGUGACUGCACGGCUAGAGUGUGUCAGAGGGGGGUAGAAUUCCACGUGUAGCAGUGAAAAUGCGUAGAGAUGUGGAGGAAUACCGAUGGCGAAGGCAGCCCCCUGGGAUAACACUGACGCUCAGGCACGAAAGCGUGGGGAGCAAACAGG